rnacentral:rRNA from 1 species
UACGAAGGGUGCAAGCGUUACUCGGAAUUACUGGGCGUAAAGGGUGCGUAGGCGGUGAGUUAAGUCUGUGGUGAAAGCCCCGGGCUCAACCUGGGAAUGGCGAUGGAUACUGGCUCGCUAGAGUGCGGUAGAGGGUGGUGGAAUUCCCGGUGUAGCAGUGAAAUGCGUAGAGAUCGGGAGGAACAUCAGUUGCGAAGGCGGCCACCUGGACCAGCACUGACACUGAGGCACGAAAGCGUGGGGAGCAAACAGG